AGCAGCCGCGGUAAUUCCAGCUCCAAUAGCGUAUAUUAAAGUUGCUGCAGUUAAAAAGCUCGUAGUUGAAUUUCGGGAUCACCAUGUCGGUCGUGCCUCGGUACGUACUGGCAUUGUUGGUUUCUACCUUCUGACGAACCAUGAUGUCAUUUAUUUGGUGUCGUGGGAAAUCAGGACUGUUACUUUAGAAAAAUUGAGUGUUUAAAGCAGGCUCACGCUUGAAUACAUUAGCAUGGAAUAAUGAAAUAGGACGUUUGAUUCUAUUUUGUUGGUUUCUAGGAUCGACGUAAUGAUUAAUAGGGAUAGUUGGGGGCAUUAGUAUUCAAUUGUCAGAGGUGAAAUUCUUGGAUUUAUUGAAGACUAACUACUGCGAAAG
rnacentral:rRNA from 1 species